AUGUUUUGAGGCGUUUUGGAGGCUAUGGACACAAGGGAGCCGAGUUUCUGCCCUUCGGCAGAAACUCAGGUUCGGCCGCCGAAGUGACUUUCGGCCGCCGAACCCCCUUGUGGAGGCAGUUUCGGCUGCCGAAGCCUGCCCCCGAAACUCAAGUUUCGUCUCUGUCUGGGAGGUUCGGCCGCCGAAAGUGCCGCCGAACCUGCAUGACUUUCGGCUGCAGAGGGACUUUCGGCCGCCGAACCUGCCGCCGAAAGUGCCCUGUUUAGCCGUUUCUUGCAUGAUUUCAUGUGAUG
rnacentral:lncRNA from 1 species